GCCUGCCACAGAUGACAGAACGUGGGUCUGAAAGUCAGGGAAACAGCCGACCUAGUUUAGUAGUCCUACUUGGUGAGAAGUGAGAGAAUAUGCAUUAUCCACCGUCGAAUGUCAAAGCAUGGUAUAAGAGUCUCUGACUUGAAUAAUUCCACUGACAUCGCAACGUUGGAUGCUCGGUGAUUACAGGGAUCCCAGGAUCUCAUCCAAAUUCUGGGUUCAGACUGAUGCAAGGACGUCUCAGGUUCCGACGUACAAAGGUUCAGAGACUUCGUGUGCAAGAAUCCAUGCCACGUCUGGAUCCACCGGGAAUUGUCCGCACACUACAACUACAAACUGUUCGGCGUGGAUGAUAUUCUGUGCCAGCCCCCAACAGUCAAAGGCAUAGCUAUGGCAACGAUAAAGUCAUAAAUUAAAGCUCUGUAUUGAGGGACUCGGAAGGAAGUACAAAAAUAAAUUAAGACCAUAUUUUUUUCACCCAUUUUGGAACGAUAAACCCAUAUACAGUAUAAUAUAGACCAUUUUAAAUUAAGUUUAAAUAUUUCAUGCUUUUAUUAUUUAUUACGCGCUAGGAAUCUUAAUUCAUUUAGAUUUGGAGUGCUUUCGCUGCCAGCCUCUCCCAUUCAAAAAUUGAUUGGAUGUCAAGCGCUGUCAGUGGCAGCCAAUGAGUUAAAUGUUGAUGUUUAUGGCUUGCAAAAAUAAGAAACCCUAAAAUUUUAUGUCUCAGAAUUACGAGAAAAAAAAAAUUCUGGGCCCUGCAACACAUUGUCUGUUAUUGCAGAAAUGUUGGUAUAGUUUUAGUUGCCACUUCUGGGAGAUGAUUGGAUGAAAUUUUACCCAUCAAAAUCAAAUUAUGAGGUGUGGCACGCCCUCUUUGCUUGUUGGCUCUUUGAAAAUGGCUUAACAAGUUCAACUUCAAAAGGGAUAAUGUAAAGUGCACAUUUCUAAUCAAAAACAUAACAUAAAAAAAAAAAAAAAACAAUAAAAGCAUGAAAUAUCCCUGACCAAAAAAGUUAAUAAAAUUAUAUAAAUGCGAACACUUUCAGUCUAGGGCUAGGCACAUACAGAUGAGGCUAAUCAAUAACUAAAUUUGCCAUAUACGAUGUGUGCAUGUUUAGUUAUAUUUUAGGACUAGUUGGUUCAACUUUAAAUUACAUAUUUGCAGUUUUAUGUGAUGGUCCACAUGGUCAUCCCCCCCCCAUGUCGAUGUCAGUCCCAGAAGUGCAGCUGCGACAGGCCUCGACUCCUGAAGAAAUUCAGCAGAUGUCAGAAUUUUCUAAUGUAUUGAAUGUCAACAACGAGACUAUCCAGCCUGCGUCAAAUAUUUGGACUUGUUUUAAAUGACAGCAUAGAAUGUUGGUUGUCGUUGAUGUGACAGUACCUCAAUAAUGUGAAGAAAUAAUAAAGGCAAUGAUUGUUUUUCUGCAAAGUAAUAUUUUAUUGAUGACCAGUGUAAUACAAUACAAAUGAUAAACAGGCAAUUGAUGUACAAAAAAGGACUUCCAGCACAACUAACUCGUUCAUCAAAAAAAUUGUCCACUGGACACCAACAUGAGCCACUUAAGGUCAGUACAGUGGUACCUCUACAUACGAAGUUAAUCCGUUCCAGGAGCUUGUUUGUAAGUCGAAAUGGUCGUAUGUCGAGCAGGAUUUUCCCAUAGGAAUACAUUAUAAUUCCAUUAAUUCGUUCCACAGCCCAAAAACCUGCACUAAAUCCUUAAAAAAUACUGCUGGUACUAUUACAAAUGGCAAUUACAUAUAGCAAAACAAAUAAAUAAUA